AGCGGCGGAUGGGUGAGUAACACGUGGGGAACCUGCCCCUAAGUCUGGGAUACCAUUUGGAAACAGGUGCUAAUACCGGAUAAUAAAGCAGAUCGCAUGAUCAGCUUUUGAAAGGCGGCGUAAGCUGUCGCUAAGGGAUGGCCCCGCGGUGCAUUAGCUAGUAGGUAAGGUAACGGCUUACCAAGGCGACGAUGCAUAGCCGAGUUGAGAGACUGAUCGGCCACAUUGGGACUGAGACACGGCCCAAACUCCUACGGGAGGCAGCAGUAGGGAAUCUUCCACAAUGGACGCAAGUCUGAUGGAGCAACGCCGCGUGAGUGAAGAAGGUUUUCGGAUCGUAAAGCUCUGUUGUUGGUGAAGAAGGAUAGAGGUAGUAACUGGCCUUUAUUUGACGGUAAUCAACCAGAAAGUCACGGCUAACUACGUGCCAGCAGCCGCGGUAAUACGUAGGUGGCAAGCGUUGCCCGGAUUUAUUGGGCGUAAAGCGAGCGCAGGCGGAAAAAUAAGUCUAAUGUGAAAGCCCUCGGCUUAACCGAGGAACUGCAUCGGAAACUGUUUUUCUUGAGUGCAGAAGAGGAGAGUGGAACUCCAUGUGUAGCGGUGGAAUGCGUAGAUAUAUGGAAGAACACCAGUGGCGAAAGCGGCUCUCUGGUCUGCAACUGACGCUGAGGCUCGAAAGCAUGGGUAGCGAACAGGAUUAGAUACCCUGGUAGUCCAUGCCGUAAACGAUGAGUGCUAAGUGU
rnacentral:rRNA from 1 species